UACGUAGGGGGCAAGCGUUGUCCGGAGUUACUGGGCGUAAAGCGCUUGUAGGCGGUCCACCAAGUUUGGGGUGACAGUUGCCGACUUAAUCGGCAAAGUGCCUCAAAGACUGGCGGACUUGAGGGCCACAGAGGGACAUGGAACUCCAGGUGUAGUGGUGAAAUGCGUAGAUAUCUGGAAGAACACCAAAGGCGAAGGCAGUGUCCUGGGUGGUCGCUGACGCUGAGAGGCGAAAGCCAGGGGAGCGAACGGGG
rnacentral:rRNA from 1 species